UGGGGAAUUUUGGACAAUGGGCGAAAGCCUGAUCCAGCAAUGCCGCGUGUGUGAAGAGGGCCUUCGGGUUGUAAAGCACUUUUGUCCGGAAAGAAAUCCUUGGCUCUAAUACAGUCGGGGGAUGACGGUACCGGAAGAAUAAGCACCGGCUAACUACGUGCCAGCAGCCGCGGUAAUACGUAGGGUGCAAGCGUUAAUCGGAAUUACUGGGCGUAAAGCGUGCGCAGGCGGUUUGCUAAGACCGAUGUGAAAUCCCCGGGCUCAACCUGGGAACUGCAUUGGUGACUGGCGGGCUAGAGUAUGGCAGAGGGGGGUAGAAUUCCACGUGUAGCAGUGAAAUGCGUAGAGAUGUGGAGGAAUACCGAUGGCGAAGGCAGCCCCUGGGCCAAUACUGACGCUCAUGCACGAAAGCGUGGGGAGCAAACAGGAUUAGAUACCCUGGUAGUCCACGCCCUAAACGAUGUCAACUAGUUGUUGGGGAUUCAUUUCCUUAGUAACGUAGCUAACGCGUGAAGUUGACCGCCUGGGGAGUACGGUCGCAAGAUUAAAA
rnacentral:rRNA from 1 species